UUCCGGUUGAUCCUGCCGGACCCGACUGCUAUCAGAGUGGGACUAAGCCAUGCGAGUCAACGUAGCAAUACGUGGCAUACGGCUCAGUAACACGUAGUCAACAUGCCCAGGGGACGAGGAUAACCUCGGGAAACUGAGGAUAAACCUCGAUAGGCCAUGAUUUCUGGAAUGAUUCUUGGCUCAAACCUAUAUGGCCCCUGGAUUGGACUGCGGCCGAUCAGGCUGUUGGUGAGGUAAUGGCCCACCAAACCUAUUACCGGUACGGGCUCUGAGAGGAGGAGCCCGGAGAUGGGCACUGAGACAAGGGCCCAGGCCCUAUGGGGCGCAGCAGGCGCGAAACCUCUGCAAUAGGCGAAAGCCUGACAGGGUUACUCUGAGUGACUUUCGCUAAGAAAGUCUUUUGGCACCUCUAAAAAGGGUGCAGAAUAAGGGGUGGGCAAGUCUGGUGUCAGCCGCCGCGGUAAUACCAGCACCCCGAGUGGUCGGGACGAUUAUUGGGCCUAAAGCAUCCGUAGCCGGUUCUGCAAGUCCCCCGUUAAAUCCAGCUGCUCAACAGAUGGGCCGCGGAGGAUACUACAGAGCUAGGAGGCAGGAGAGGCAAGCGGUACUCAGUGGGUAGGGGUAAAAUCCGUUGAUCCAUUGAAGACCACCAGUGGCGAAGGCGGCUUGCCAGAAUGCGCUCGACGGUGAGGGAUGAAAGCUGGGGGAGCAAACCGGAUUAGAUACCCGGGUAGUCCCAG
rnacentral:rRNA from 1 species